rnacentral:rRNA from 1 species
UAGUCUAACACAAUAAUUAAAUUACUAAUUAUUCGCCAAAUAACUACGAGUAAAAACUUAAAAUUUAAAAGACUUGACGGUGUCUCACAACAGCCUAGAGGAGCCUGUCUACUAACCGAUACCCCACGAUUAACCCAACCCCUUCUAGCCCACAGUCUAUAUACCACCGUCGCCAGCUUACCUUGUAAAAGAAAUGAAGUAAACUAAACAACCAAACAUUAACACGACAGGUCGAGGUGUAACUCAUGAAGAGGAAAAGAUGGGCUACAUUUUCUAAACCAGAAAAUACGGAUAAACUAUGAAACAAGAAACUGAAGGCGGAUUUAGCAGUACAUUAAGAAUAAAAUACCUAAUAGAAAUCAACGCAAUGAGACGCGUACACACCGCCCGUCAC